rnacentral:lncRNA from 1 species
UGGUGACAUGGAUAUGGCAUAUGGGUGAUAUGUAGAAGUAUAUUUUAUUGAGCGUGACCACUUUUGGAGCACUUUGCUAUCAAGAAUUGCUUUGAUGGGAUAUGGGUAUAUGUGUUCCUCGGACCUGAGGCUAUCUCGAUGACUUGCAAGCAACUCACUGUACUUUGAUGCCGGACUAUCCAAAUUUCUAAUUCGAUGAUGGAAAAUUUUUGGG